rnacentral:misc_RNA from 1 species
CUCCUCCUCUUGACCGUGACCUUCAGCCCACCAGCCAUGUGCGCCGUCAACAGAGGAACAAAAACGGGCUGCUCCUCCCUAACCGGUCUCACCUCGAACUGCCCCAGCACCGAAGCCACCACAUACUUCAUCUGUAUAAACGCCAUCUCCUUCCCAAGGCACACCCUUGGACCCGCUUGGAACACCGGAAACUCGUAUGGACUC